GACGAACGCUGGCGGCGUGCUUAACACAUGCAAGUCGAACGGAAAGUUCCUGCUUUUGUGCGCUGCUCUGGUUGCGAACUGGUGACUAACACUUGAGUAACCUGCCCUUGACUUUAGGAUAUCUUCAUGACACUUGGUCUAUUACCGGAUAGGAUCUCCUGCUUCUUGGUGGGCGUUGGAUAGUUUCGGCGGUUGGUGAUGGAAUCGCGGCUUAUCAGCUUGUUGGUUGGGUAGUGGCUUACCAAGGCUAUGAGCGGUAGCCGGCCUGCGAGGGUGACAGGCCCCACUGGGACUGAGAUAAGGCACAGCCUACUAUGGGAGGCAGGAGAGGGGAAGGUUGCAUAAUGGGAGGAAGGAUGAUGUAGCAAAGCAGCGUCCGGGAUGACGGCAUUCGGGUUGGAUUCCGCUUUCGCCUGUGACGAAGUGUGAGUGACGGUAAUGGGUAAAGAAGCACCGGCUAACUACGUG
rnacentral:rRNA from 1 species